rnacentral:rRNA from 1 species
CAGGAUGGGCGGAGACCUACACAUGCAGUCGAGCGGAUAGACGGGAGCUUGCUCCUUGAUUCAGCGGCGGACGGGUGAGUAAUGCCUAGGAAUCUGCCUGGUAGUGGGGGACAACGUUUCGAAAGGAACGCUAAUACCGCAUACGUCCUACGGGAGAAAGCAGGGGACCUUCGGGCCUUGCGCUAUCAGAUGAGCCUAGGUCGGAUUAGCUAGUUGGUGGGGUAAUGGCUCACCAAGGCGACGAUCCGUAACUGGUCUGAGAGGAUGAUCAGUCACACUGGAACUGAGACACGGUCCAGACUCCUACGGGAGGCAGCAGUGGGGAAUAUUGGACAAUGGGCGAAAGCCUGAUCCAGCCAUGCCGCGUGUGUGAAGAAGGUCUUCGGAUUGUAAAGCACUUUAAGUUGGGAGGAAGGGCAUUAACCUAAUACGUUAGUGUUUUGACGUUACCGACAGAAUAAGCACCGGCUAACUCUGUGCCAGCAGCCGCGGUAAUACAG